UGGGGGAUAUUGCGCAAUGGGGGGAAACCCUGACGCAGCAACGCCGCGUGAAGGAAGAAGGUUUUCGGAUUGUAAACUUCUUUUAUUAAGGACGAAGAAGUGACGGUACUUAAUGAAUAAGCUCCGGCUAACUACGUGCCAGCAGCCGCGGUAAUACGUAGGGAGCGAGCGUUGUCCGGAUUUACUGGGUGUAAAGGGUGCGUAGGCGGCUAAUCAAGUCAGGUGUGAAAUACAUGGGCUUAACUCAUGGGCUGCACUUGAAACUGAAUAGCUUGAGUGAAGUAGAGGCAGGCGGAAUUCCCGGUGUAGCGGUGAAAUGCGUAGAGAUCGGGAGGAACACCAGUGGCGAAGGCGGCUUGCUGGGGCUUUAACUGACGCUGAGGCACGAAAGCGUGGGGAGCAAACAGGAUUAGAUACCCUGGUAGU
rnacentral:rRNA from 1 species